AUGAACGCUGGCGGCGUGCCUAAUACAUGCAAGUCGAGCGAACGGACGAGAAGCUUGCUUCUCUGAUGUUAGCGGCGGACGGGUGAGUAACACGUGGAUAACCUACCUAUAAGACUGGGAUAACUUCGGGAAACCGGAGCUAAUACCGGAUAAUAUUUUGAACCGCCUGGUUCAAAAGUGAAAGACGGUCUUGCUGUCACUUAUAGAUGGAUCCGCGCUGCAUUAGCUAGUUGGUAAGGUAACGGCUUACCAAGGCAACGAUGCAUAGCCGACCUGAGAGGGUGAUCGGCCACACUGGAACUGAGACACGGUCCAGACUCCUACGGGAGGCAGCAGUAGGGAAUCUUCCGCAAUGGGCGAAAGCCUGACGGAGCAACGCCGCGUGAGUGAUGAAGGUCUUCGGAUCGUAAAACUCUGUUAUUAGGGAAGAACAUAUGUGUAAGUAACUGUGCACAUCUUGGCGGUACCUAAUCAGAAAGCCACGGCUAACUACGUG
rnacentral:rRNA from 1 species